CCUGUAUUUUGUAAUGAAAUUUAAAAAAGAAGGAAUGAAGACAGAGUGAAGAAAAUAGAGUGUCUGGUAAAGGUUCAAGAGGAAAGGAAGAAUGUUUUAAAUUAUCUUUAUAAACAAGGAGUUUUGAACACAGUAUAUCAGGCCCAGCAGACAUGUCCUUCAGAACAGACGCACUCCUCACUUCCUUUGGAGAAAUGGCCUCCUCGCACAACCAGGUUAUGUGGAAAUAUCCCCUUCAAGUCACGUGCCCAAUUAAACCCGGAAGAAUAAUAAGUGAUGUCUAUUGCAGAAGAAUUUGAGGAAAGAGUUUGGACACCAUAAGCAAAAAUUGUUUAUCCCAUAUAAAUUGUAGUGUGAAUAUUGUUGGAUUUCCCAUAAUGGAAUAUUUAUAUUUUAUCUCACUAAUACAAUCUUCAUAUUUUA